rnacentral:rRNA from 1 species
UACGUAGGGGGCUAGCGUUGUCCGGAAUCAUUGGGCGUAAAGGGCUCGUAGGCGGCCAACUAAGUCAUACGUGAAAUCCCUCAGCUUAACUGGGGAACUGCGUGUGAUACUGGAUGGCUUGGAUUUGGGAGAGGGAUGCGGAAUUCCAGGUGUAGCGGUGAAAUGCGUAGAUAUCUGGAGGAACACCGGUGGCGAAGGCGGCAUCCUGGACCAAUAUUGACGCUGAGGAGCGAAAGCUAGGGGAGCAAACGGG